CCUACGGGUGGCAGCAGUGAGGAAUAUUGGUCAAUGGUCGCGAGCCUGAACCAGCCAAGUAGCGUGAGGGAGGACUGUCCUGCGUGUUGUAAACUUCUUUUAUAAAGGAAUAAAGUGAGGCACGUGUGCCUGUUUGUAUGUACUUUAUGAAUAAGCAUCGGCUAACUCCGUGCCAGCAGCCGCGGUAAUACGGAGGAUCCGAGCGUUAUCCGGAUUUAUUGGGUUUAAAGGGAGCGUAGAUGGGUUGUUAAGUCAGUUGUGAAAGUUUGCGGCUCAACCGUCAGACUGCCAUUGAUACUGGCAGUCUUGAGUACAGUUGAGGUAGGCGGAAUUCGUGGUGUAGCGGUGAAAUGCUUAGAUAUCGCGAAGAACUCCGAUUGCGAAGGCAGCUUACUAGACUGCCACUGACAUUGAUGCUCGAAAGUGUGGGUAUCAAACAGGAUUAGAUACCCUUGUAGUC
rnacentral:rRNA from 1 species